AAGGCAAAAACCCUAACUCAGCCACAAAGGCAUCAUUCCUAAAUCCUAGUUCCUAGUUCCUGGAUCUUCACCAUGAGAGCAUUUUCACCAUUUUGCAGUCUUUGGCUCUUUAUCCUCUGGAUGAACACAGAGAAAUCUUUUCAACAGAACGCCAUGAAAUGUAGACUGACACUGCCGCCACUUGAAGGAACCAGCUAUGAACCUGUUUACAGAAAUGUGUUUUCACCUGAUGAACAAGUUACUGUCACUUGUGGAGAGAAGUACUGGAUUACUAGCCCUCGGCACACCUCAGCAGUAACUACAUGCACUGACAGUGGAGAAUGGACUAUCAGACCUGUAUGCAAAGAGGUUACAUGCAGCAAUACACGCGAGCAACAUGUGUAUUCUUGGAAUGUCUACUGGGGGCAAAAAAUGAUACUUGGUGAUACUGCAAGAUACAGGUGUAGGGCAAACUACAAGAGCCCAGAUGGCAGCUACAUGGCCACAUGCACCAGAGAUGGGUGGAGACCAAAUCCACUUUGUCAAGCUAAUCAUUGCCCAGUGAUUCAUGUCAACGAUAACGUCCAGGUGAAUGGGAGCCUAGAGAGAGCAGCCCAUGGCAAUGUAGUUCGCUUUAGCUGCAAAUCUAACACCGACAUCCUGUUCGGGCCAACGGAGAUCUAUUGUAAUGAAAGUGGAUUGUGGAGUGGCGAUGCUCCAAAAUGCCAAGCAAUAAAAUGCGAAGCACCCAAAAUUGAAAAUGGUAUUGUGCAUGGAAAUAUCCGUGAGUACGACGAACAUGAAGUUCUGCAUUUUGAUUGCAUUGACAAAUACAAACGCACUGAAGAGAGACCUUCAAAAUGCAUAAAAAUCGGAAUGAGAGCAGAGUGGAGCCCAACGCCUAUGUGUGAAUCCAUGAAAUGUAGACUGACACUGCCGCCACUUGAAGGAACCAGCUAUGAACCUGUUUACAGAAAUGUGUUUUCACCUGAUGAACAAGUUACUGUCACUUGUGGAGAGAAGUACUGGAUUACUAGCCCUCGGCACACCUCAGCAGUAACUACAUGCACUGACAGUGGAGAAUGGACUAUCAGACCUGUAUGCAAAGAGGUUACAUGCAGCAAUCGACGCCCGCAACAUGUGUAUUCUUGGAAUGUCUACUGGGGGCAAAAAAUGAUACUUUAUGAUACUGCAAGAUACAGGUGUAGGGCAAACUACAAGAGCCCAGAUGGCAGCUACAUGGCCACAUGCACCAGAGAUGGGUGGAGACCAAAUCCACUUUGUCAAGCUCAUCAUUGCCCAGUGAUUCAUGUCAACGAUAACGUCCAGGUGAAUGGGAGCCUAGAGAGAGCAGCCCAUGGCAAUGUAGUUCGCUUUAGCUGCAAAUCUAACACCGACAUCCUGUUCGGGCCAACAGAGAUCUAUUGUAAUGAAAGUGGAUUGUGGAGUGGCGACGCUCCAAAAUGCCAAGCAAUAAAAUGCGAAGCACCCAAAAUUGAAAAUGGUAUUGUGCAUGGAAAUAUCCGUGAGUACGACGAACAUGAAGUUCUGCAUUUUGGUUGCCUUGGCAAAUACAAACGCACUGAAGAGAGACCUUCAAAAUGCAUAAAAAUUGGAACGAGAGCAGAGUGGAGCCCAACGCCUAUGUGUGAAUCCAUAAAAUGUAGACUGACACUGCCGCCACUUGAAGGAACCAGCUAUGAACCUGUUUACAGAAAUGUGUUUUCACCUGAUGAACAAGUUACUGUCACUUGUGGAGAGAAGUACUGGAUUACUAGCCCUCUGCACACCUCAGCAGUAACUACAUGUGCUGACUAUGGAGAAUGGACUAUCAGACCUGUAUGCAAAGAGGUUACAUGCAGCAAUCAACGCCCACAACAUGUGUAUUCUUGGAAUGUCUACUGGGGGCAAAAAAUGAUACUUUAUGAUACUGCAAGAUACAGGUGUAGGGCAAACUACAAGAGCCCAGAUGGCAGCUACAUGGCCACAUGCACCAGAGAUGGGUGGAGACCAAAUCCACUUUGUCAAGAAAUAACUUGUGAAAGAGAGGAUAUCCCGCAUGCAAAUAUUGUCAACCCCAAGUUGAGAUACACAAACAAUCAACGGGCCGAUUAUGAGUGCGAGGAAGGUUAUAAAGGACGUCCUACUCGAACCUGUGGGGAAUAUGGUUGGACCGGGGAUUCACAGUGUACAGGCGAGAAAUAACAGACCGAGAACAGAGGCGAGACGACGUCGGUGUGUCAGGGCUUCUACGCCGAUUCACCAUGCUCAUUCAGCUGUAAAGUCGACAGCGAGGGUCACACUACGGAAAAAAAACUAAGGCCACUAACAGCCACACGCUCAUCAAUGACAGCAGAAUGUCCACCUGAUGUGUCAGGGCCCCUGAGUGGUGUAACUCAGGAGCCACACGAGCAGCGCAAGAAGGAAGCAGGCCUUGGUGAAGAUGCUGCCGCCCUUUUCUGCCACUUUAUCCCCUGCCUUCUCCCGAUAUCUCUGCAGCAGGUCCAGCAACGUUUCCACAGAGUUUUCCACCAGAUACACCGCAUCGAUCGUCUUGUGGUACUGAGGGAGGAAACCAAGAGGAAGUGUGUAAAGGAGAGGGAAAGGACGAUGAAAGUACAAACUUUAAUCUUGAAAACUGCCUUUGAUGCUUUUAUUACAUCAUGCCUGAAUGGCUACAACACUAAAUCUAUGUAAUCUGCUGCCACUUUGCUGUUUCAUAAAUGGUGUUGACAUUUCUUAUUGUCCAUUUCUCUUUUGCUAUUCUUACAAAAGUAAAAGCUCUCAGGCCAAACUGGAGAAACUUCCUGUUCCUUUACAUCCACGAGACAAAUGGCUGAUUGUGGUGCAGUAGCAAUUUUCUGAACUUCCAUACUUAUUUUCUGCAAUGCUUUUAAUGACAUGAGGAUCUUUUAUUUAAUGAAACCAUCAGAAUAAAAAGUCUACCGCAAUGAUUCAAGGCAAAAUCCUGCCAAUAAAACUUAAUAAUAUG